AGCUUAAUGUUAUUAUAUUAAGUUAAACCUGCCCACUGAUAUUUGUAUUUAAUGGCCGCAGUACCUUGACUGUGCUAAGGUAGCAUAAUAAAUUGACUUUUAAUUGGGGCCUUGAAUGAAAGGAUUAACGGAUAUUUUCUGUCUUGUGUUAAUAAAUUUAAAGUUACUUAUAAGGUGAAAAUUCCUUUAAAUAUAUAAUAGACGAGAAGACCCUAGGAGUUUUAAAUUUUGUUGGGGCGACAGUGUAGCAGUUAACCUACAUCAAAAUAAAAGUAUAACGAUAUUUAAUUUAAAUUAAACUACCCUAGGGAUAACAGCAUAAUUUUUAAUAUAGUUUGUGACCUCGAUGUUGGAUUAGGAACUUUUAAAGUUAACAGCGUUAAUUGGUAGUUCUGUUCGAACUUUUUAUACCUACA
rnacentral:rRNA from 1 species